rnacentral:rRNA from 1 species
GAUGAACGCUGGCGGCGUGCCUAAUACAUGCAAGUCGAGCGAACAGACGAGGAGCUUGCUCCUCUGACGUUAGCGGCGGACGGGUGAGUAACACGUGGAUCACCUACCUAUAAGACUGGGAUAACUUCGGGAAACCGGUGCUAAUACCGGAUAAUAUAUUGAACCGCAUGGUUCAAUAGUGUAAGACGGUUUUGCUGUCACUUAUAGAUGGAUCCGCGCCGCAUUAGCUAGUUGGUAAGGUAACGGCUUACCAAGGCAACGAUGCGUAGCCGACCUGAGAGGGUGAUCGGCCACACUGGAACUGAGACACGGUCCAGACUCCUACGGGAGGCAGCAGUAGGGAAUCUUCCGCAAUGGGCGAAAGCCUGACGGAGCAACGCCGCGUGAGUGAUGAAGGUCUUCGGAUCGUAAAACUCUGUUAUUAGGGAAGAACAAAUGUGUAAGUAACUAUGCACGUCUUGACGGUACCUAAUCAGAAAGCCACGGCUAACUACGUG